rnacentral:rRNA from 1 species
GAUGAACGCUGGCGGCGUGCCUAAUACAUGCAAGUCGAGCGAACAGAUGGAGCUUGCUCCUCUGACGUUAGCGGCGGACGGGUGAGUAACACGUGGAUAACCUACCUAUAAGACUGGGAUAACUUCGGGAAACCGGAGCUAAUACCGGAUAAUAUAUUGAACCGCAUGGUUCAAUAGUGAAAGACGGUUUUGCUGUCACUUAUAGAUGGAUCCGCGCCGCAUUAGCUAGUUGGUAAGGUAACGGCUUACCAAGGCAACGAUGCGUAGCCGACCUGAGAGGGUGAUCGGCCACACUGGAACUGAGACACGGUCCAGACUCCUACGGGAGGCAGCAGUAGGGAAUCUUCCGCAAUGGGCGAAAGCCUGACGGAGCAACGCCGCGUGAGUGAUGAAGGUCUUCGGAUCGUAAAACUCUGUUAUUAGGGAAGAACAAAUGUGUAAGUAACUAUGCACGUCUUGACGGUACCUAAUCAGAAAGCCACGGCUAACUACGUG